rnacentral:rRNA from 1 species
GAAGCUAGGGUAAGGGCCUAGCUUGAGGACAACGCAUACAGAGAAUUAGGGUUCGAUUCUGGAGAGGGCGCACGAGAGAUGGCGACCACUUCUAAGGGAGGCAGCAGGCGCGCAAAUUACCCAAUGUCGCACUGACGAGGUAGUGAACAUCAAUAACAAUGUGGCGCUCAAUAAGAGUGCUACAGUUGGAAUGAGAUAUGAGAAGAACGAAAAGCGAGUAACAAGUGGAGGGCAAGUCUGGUGCCAGCAGCCGCGGUAAUACCAGCUCCACUAGCGUAUGUUAAAGUUGCUGCAGCUAAAACGCUCGUAGUUGUGGUUGAGUGGAGGAGCUGGACUGUUUACGCAAGUAAGCGGUUCAGCCCCCCCACAAUAUCUUGGAGUGAAUUUUAAUUAAUUCAUUCCUAGUAAACCUUGAAGAAAUAUUAACGCUUAAAAUUGGUCUUACGACCAAAUUCUUUUUGCAUGGGAUUUUAGAAUACGAGAGGCGCCGUCAAAAGUGCUUCUAAUGACAUUUGAGGAAGAAAGAGGUGGUUAAUACUAGGACGUCAGAGGUGAAAUUCUUGGAUUGUCCUAUGAUUAACUGAUGCGAAGGCGUUCUACAAUUGCUUUCCUGUCAAUCAAGAACGAAAGUAAGGGGAUCGAAGACGAUCAGAUACCGUCGUAGUCUUUACAGUAAAUUCUGCCGACAAAGGAAAUGGAAACGACAUAGAAUGGUGGGGAAACUCGCCAUUUAAUAUCCUUCCAUUUUCUCCCACGAAAGUUCAAGUCUUUGGGUUCUGGGGGGAGUAUGUUCGCAAGGCCGAAACUUAAAGGAAUUGACGGAAGGGCACCACCAGGCGUGGAGCCUGCGGCUUAAUUUGACCCAACACGGGAAAACUUACCAGGUCCAGACAGCGUGAGGAUUGACAGAUUGAAAGCUCUUUCAUGAUUCGUUGGGUGGUGGUGCAUGGCCGUUCUUAGUUGGUGGUGCGAGCUGUCUGGUUGAUUCCGUUAACGAACGAGACCUUUGUCAGAUAAUAGAAGGACUUGGAUAUUGCAUCAAGGCAGCGUCGGCGUAUGUGGCCAUCCUUCGGGACCCAUUUACUCACUGGCGUUGUUGCUUUUCCAAGUCAAAUCUUCUUUCUGAGACUAAUGCAGAAAAUGCAUUGGAAGUUGGAGGCAAAAACAGGUCUGUGAUGCCCUUCGAUGUUCUGGGCUGCACGCGCGCUACAAUGAUAGAGUCAACGAGUUUUCUCCUUGCUCGAAAGGGCUGGGUAAUCUUAUGAAACUCUAUCGUAACUAGGAUCGCUGAUUGAAACUAUUCGGCGUGAAUCAGGAAUGCCUUGUAAUUACGAGUCAUCAGCUCGUAGUGAAUACGUCCCUGCCCUUUGUACACACCGCCCGUCGCUCCUACCAAUUGGUGUCAACGGUGAAAUGAUCGGAGUCGACUCUUUUCUGGGGUCAAACCUGGUGGGAGAUGGCAGAGUUCUUUAAAUCUUUGGCACUAGAGGAAGGAGAAGUCGUAACAAGGUU